AUGCAGAGAAGGAACACUUCGCUCUGGACGCCCGGAGAGGGACAGCUGGCCUGGGUGUGCCAGCUUCCAAAGGGCGGGAGGGACUUCAUCAGGGAGACCAUCCGUCCAGGCGGGCCCCAGGGUCUGAAAUGGCCAAGGCGGGGUCCCGUCCGCCCCCUCCCCCGCAGGGCAGCCCGGGUCCCCGACGUGGGCCGGGGCGCGGGGGCGGCAGGUUUCCGGCCGGUCCCACCCAGGUCCCACCCAGCCGACUGGCCGGGGCGGGGACCCCCCAACCCCCCCCAACCUUCCCGGCCCCCCCCCCCCCCCCCCGCCGGCCUCCCCAGCCCAGCCUGGUCCCGGGUCCGGAGGCGGGCGAGAGGCAGGGGGGAGGCAGAGGGGAGGGGCGGGCGGGGGGGAGCAGGGGGGAGGCGGGCGAGAGGCAGCGGGGAGGCGGGAGCGAGCGGGCCGCUGCCCGGAGGCCGCGCCGCCCCGGCGCAAACAUUUCCUUAUGUGGUGGCUCCGCGGGGCCGGGGCGGCGCCGGGGGCUGCGGGGACGGCGGCCACGCCCGGGGCCUCGCGGCCACCCUGGCCCUCGGCUGGGCCGCCGCGCCGCGCCUGCUGGACGAGACCAAGAGGGGAGGCCCCCGCCCCGCGUGUCCCCCGCAGCGCGUCCCUCGUUCCCCUGAAGGAGGAGCAGACCCUGUGGCGCCCCGACUUGGCCCGCGCUUGUGGGGGCUCCCGGGUCCGGACGAAGAGGGGGCGCGGGGUCCCCCGCCCGCCACCUCCCUGCCCCUCCCCGGCGCAGCCGCCCAGCGCCGCAGCCUCCUUGGCCUUGGGAGCUGCAUUUGGGGGUGGAGGGAUAGCGGGGCGACGGCGGGGGGAUGGCCCAGGGCCGGAGCGGCGAGUGCCUCACUGGAAAUGUCGCGGCUCUCGGCGGGCUCCAGGCUCCAGGCUCCAGGCUCCAGGCUGCAGCCCUCCCGAGAGAGCUCGGCCUCAAAACCUGGAGCCCGCGGCUGCCUUCCUGCGGCCAGGGCGUCCCGAGCCUGA
rnacentral:lncRNA from 1 species